rnacentral:misc_RNA from 1 species
AUCUUUCUCAUAAAUCCGUAUUCAGUAUUGAUAAUGUAGUGCACAUGAGGGUCUUUAAUUUGAUACACACCAUGAAAAACAGGAUAAUUUGAUUGAAAAGUGUAUUACGGUGUAACACAUAGGUAUGAAUAUUUUCAGAGAGUAGGAUAGCAUCAAUACUUCCAAGGUCGUUACACAAAGUGGGGUUCACUUUGUCGUUAUGCAACAAGAAGUUCCAACAAAAAGAACAACACCUAAAUCCGUCCGAUGGAGUGUUUCGUUUCUUUUCAUGUAUGCUACCAUAUACUGCUUUCAUGUACAUCUGAGGCUGAGAUUAAUCCAAACCAAAGACCUACAAUCUCGUGAAAACAACAUUAUAACGGAUCAUUUCCGGUCUGUGAUUCCCGGAAGUAGUGAUGUCUUCGUCUUUUCGGCGUUUGGAAUUCACUCCGACAGUGACGAUUUCUCUCAGUCGGACAAUGUCACCGUCUCUAUUAGUUCGGUUGUGGACAUGGAUUCGCCAGUCCGUGACUACAAGUGUAUUCUCAGACGGAAAGAGUCCCCAACGGCGAUUUGGACAAAAGCAACCUUGCAGCUAUAUCCCGAGAGCCAUGGACGACGAGAUCAGUCUCACUAAACUUGAUGGAUAGUUCAAGAUGGUCAUGGAAGACGUGGACAAAUCAGAUCUCUUGAAACGAAUUCGUUGCCUAAAAGAAAUCCUGAAAAUGUCAUCAAUACCAUGAAAUUAUAAGUUGAUUUUACCAAAUAGUUUUAGAUGAUUUUAAAAAAACUUCCCAGUCUUGCUUUCUUCAGUUAUGUGAAUAAUGUUCUAUGGGGUAACAAACAAAAUGUUAAUGCUAUGACAUCUAGUAACUUACACCACCAAAUAACUAUGGACACAGAAAUGUGUUGUCCAGCACAAAUUAUCGAUCAUAUUUCCUUUGUUAUUUUGGAGAGAGCAGAAAAUUCCAUGGUAGUUUUUGGAAUGUGUAUUUAAAUUUUUGACAAUUGAUGACAAAUGUGCUCUCAUUAUAUAAAGGACCCGAUCAGUAUAUUUUAACCAUAUGCCAGAAUACAAAGAUUUUCUCAAGCUUCAGUUUACAUACCAUGACAGCCAAACCAGAUGUGGAAGUAUACACAACUUGUGAUGUGAUUUGAGAAAGAUUUGUUGUUUGGAGGUGUUUGUUUUAAAACACAACCAACACCACAGAUUAUAGUCAAGCUACAUCUUAAUUUCAAUCACAUGCAAAUUAAGACAUCUUGUCUUAUUAAAACGUUUUCUUUUUAGGUUUACUGCAGCUGCCUUUUCUUGUAUGGUUAAAGAUGUCAUCGAUUUGGACACAGUGAGUUUAGUUGCAGACAACAAGGAGAAUCCAGCUGUGGUGCUACCGAUCAUGUUUCCAUCAGAGGCCAAACGUACUUUCACAGUGUGUGUUCCUCCCCUGAACUCGAGAUACAGUAAAGCAUACCAGCUGGUGGAAAUGGUGGAAGUCGGUCGACUCCUUGGAGCCGACCAUUACUUCUUUUAUAACUAUAGCACAGAGUGGAAUGUUGAUGUAGUGUUGAACCAUUAUAAAUCUCGGGGACUUGCUACAAUCAUACAGUGGUCAUUACCACUGGCAUUGCAAAUCAACGGAACGGAUGGUACAUCAGAAGAAGCAAGACUUCACUACUUUGGCCAGCUUGUGAUGCUUAAUGACUGUCUGAAUAGAAAUCGGGGAGCCAGUAAGUAUGUCAUCUUUCAGGAUCUGGACGAACUUCUUAUCCCAAAAAACCAUCAAUCAUGGAACGACAUGUUGAACUCACUGCCAGCCAACAUGGCUGCCUAUAUGUUUCGUUCGUCAUUUUUCCAUUUAGACUGGCCUAAUACGGGUUUAGAUUCCAACGUAAUCAAUGAAAUCGCAAAGCCUUAUAAGGCAUACGCUUUCAUUAAACAGUACCGAGAAGAGCGCAUUUUUGGACGAUCCGUGAGGUCCAAGUAUAUAGUGGAUCCAUUACAAGUCCAAGUUGUUGGUGUACAUAAUGUGUGGAAAUUCAGGAAGGGAGGCAAGUCGUACCAUGUUCCACCAGAGGUCGCUCUUGUUCAUCAUUAUCGUGAAAUGAAACAAAAUCAACAGAUUCGCUCUCAGAGGGAUAAUAGUACACUGAGAUAUAUAGGCGCUCUGUACCAGAUCCAGCGGACAUGGCGGUCAUUACUUCACAUACCGCUUGGACCAAUGAACUAAGUUCCCGAUGUGCAGACCAAUGAUCAACCAAACUUUGGGUGUCAGUUAUAAGCAAGAUACAGAGUUGGCAAUCGGUUUUUGGAACGCAAAUCACAGUUCGCUAUUCACAAAUCAAAAUUAAUAAUUCAUAUUUUGGGCCUGAAAUUUUCAGGGUAAUCUCCUAGUGGUAUACCACCUCCACUGUGAAAAUUAAGUGAAUUAAGUGGU